rnacentral:rRNA from 1 species
UACGGAGGAUGCGAGCGUUAUCCGGAUUUAUUGGGUUUAAAGGGUGCGUAGGCGGACGCCUAAGUCAGCGGUAAGAUUGCGGGGCUCAACCUCGUCGAGCCGUUGAAACUGGGUGCCUUGAGUGGGCGAGAAGUACGCGGAAUGCGUGGUGUAGCGGUGAAAUGCAUAGAUAUCACGCAGAACUCCGAUUGCGAAGGCAGCGUACCGGCGCCCAACUGACGCUGAAGCACGAAGGCGUGGGUAUCGAACAGG